rnacentral:rRNA from 1 species
GAUGAACGCUAGCGGCAGGCUUAACACAUGCAAGUCGAGGGGCAGCGUGGCGGAGUGCUUGCACACCGCUGACGGCGACCGGCGCACGGGUGAGUAACACGUAUGCAACCUGCCCUCUUCAGGGGGACAACCUUCCGAAAGGGAGGCUAAUCCCGCGUAUAUCCCCCGGGGGCAUCCCCGGGGGAGGAAAGAAUCAUCGGAAGAGGAUGGGCAUGCGGCGCAUUAGCCAGACGGCGGGGUAACGGCCCACCGUAGCGACGAUGCGUAGGGGUUCUGAGAGGAAGGUCCCCCACAUUGGGACUGAGAUACGGCCCAG